rnacentral:rRNA from 1 species
UACGAAGGAUGCAAGCGUUAUCCGGAUUUAUUGGGUUUAAAGGGUGCGUAGGCGGACUUAUAAGUCAGUGGUGAAAUCUCGUUGCUUAACAACGAACGUGCCAUUGAUACUGUAGGUCUUGAGUACAGAUGCCGUUGGCGGAAUGUGUCAUGUAGCGGUGAAAUGCAUAGAUAUGACACAGAACACCGAUUGCGAAGGCAGCUGACGAAACUGUAACUGACGCUGUGGCACGAAAGCGUGGGGAUCAAACAGG